AUUUUGAGUUCGGACAAACGUAACAUCUUGCCCCAUCGUGGGGCAAGAUGUCGCAGAGUCGGGGCACGUUGUUAUACAAAAGUUUUUCGGAAAACUCAGAAAUUUAUUCAGUAUGUUUUUACAAAAUCACUUAUCCUAGAUUACAAUUAGUUAAAAUUAAUUAUCUUCAUUAUCAGAAAAAGAGAAAUCUGGUGAAUAGUGUAUGCAAAUAUAAAAUCCACAGCAUUCAUGAGCCCAUUUCUUACAGACUGUACACUGAAUUAAAUUUUGCCCUCUUUUACUUUUCGAAUAUGGUUUAAAACAUACAUACAAAGACAAUCUUCAUCUUCACUGUCUGAAUUCACAUCAUGAUUCUUUUGGCUUUUCCUUUUCUA
rnacentral:lncRNA from 1 species